AACCCCUGUCGGUUAGUUGCCAGCAAGUAGCGUUGGGCACUCUAGCCAGACUGCCGGUGAUAAAUCGGAGGAAGGUGGGGACGACGUCAAAUCAUCAUGCCCUUUAUGUCCUGGGCUACACACGUACUACAAUGGCCGUUACAACGGGAAGCGAAGGAGCAAUCCGGAGCAAAUCCCUUAAAGGCGGUCCCAGUUCAGAUUGUGGGCUGAAACUCGCCCACAUGAAGGCGGAAUUGCUAGUAAUUGCAGAUCAGCAUGCUGCCAGUCGAAUACGUUCCCGGGCCUU
rnacentral:rRNA from 1 species